rnacentral:rRNA from 1 species
GACGAACGCUGGCGGCGUGCCUAAUACAUGCAAGUUGAGCGCUGAAGGAUGGUACUUGUACCAACUGGAUGAGCAGCGAACGGGUGAGUAACGCGUGGGGAAUCUGCCUUUGAGCGGGGGACAACAUUUGGAAACGAAUGCUAAUACCGCAUAAAAACUUUAAACACAAGAUUUAAGUUUGAAAGAUGCAAUUGCAUCACUCAAAGAUGAUCCCGCGUUGUAUUAGCUAGCUGGUGAGGUAAAGGCUCACCAAGGCGAUGAUACAUAGCCGACCUGAGAGGGUGAUCGGCCACCUUGGGACUGAGACAAGGCCCAAACUCCUUCGGGGGGCAGCAGUAGGGAAUCUUCGGCAAAGGACGAAAGUCUGACCGAGCAACGCCGCGUGAGUGAAGAAGGGUUUCGGAUCGUAAAACUCUGUUGGUAGAGAAGAACGUUGGUGAGAGUGGAAAGCUCAUCAAGUGACGGUAACUACACAGAAAGGAACGGCUAACUACGUG